UGUGAACGUUACCAAACUGUUGCCUCGGCGGGAUCUCUGCCCCGGGUGCGUCGCAGCCCCGGACCAAGGCGCCCGCCGGAGGACCAACCAAAACUCUUAUUGUAUACCCCCUCGCGGGUUUUUUUAUAAUCUGAGCCUUCUCGGCGCCCCUCGUGGGCGUUUCGAAAAUGAAUCAAAAACUUUCAACAACGGAUCUCUUGGUUCUGGCAUCGAUGAAGAACGCAGCGAAAUGCGAUAAGUAAUGUGAAUUGCAGAAUUCAGUGAAUCAUCGAAUCUUUGAACGCACAUUGCGCCCGCCAGUAUUCUGGCGGGCAUGCCUGUCCGAGCGUCAUUUCAACCCUCGAACCCCUCCGGGGGGUCGGCGUUGGGGAUCGGCCCUCCCUCUGCGGGGGCCGUCUCCGAAAUCCAGUGGCGGUCUCGCCGCAGCCUCUCCUGCGCAGUAGUUUGCACACUCGCACCGGGAGCGCGGCGCGUCCACAGCCGUUAAACACCCAACUUUCCGAAAUGUUGACCUCGGAUCAGGUAGGAAUACCCGCUGACU
rnacentral:rRNA from 1 species